GAUGAACGCUGGCGGCGUGCCUAAUACAUGCAAGUCGAGCGAACAGACGAGGAGCUUGCUCCUCUGACGUUGGCGGCGGACGGGUGAGUAACACGUGGAUAACCUACCUAUAAGACUGGGAUAACUUCGGGAAACCGGAGCUAAUACCGGAUAACAUGUUGAACCGCAUGGUUCAACAGUGAAGGACGGUCUUGCUGUCACUUAUAGAUGGAUCCGCGCCGCAUUAGCUAGUUGGUAAGGUAACGGCUUACCAAGGCAACGAUGCGUAGCCGACCUGAGAGGGUGAUCGGCCACACUGGAACUGAGACACGGUCCAGACUCCUACGGGAGGCAGCAGUAGGGAAUCUUCCGCAAUGGGCGAAAUCCUGACGGAGCAACGCCGCGUGAGUGAAGAAGGUCUUCGGAUCGUAAAACUCUGUUAUUAGGGAAGAACAAAUGUGUAAGUAACUAUGCACGUCUUGACGGUACCUAAUCAGAAAGCCACGGCUAACUACGUG
rnacentral:rRNA from 1 species